UAACAUUCAGCCUAUUGCUCUUCCUAACUGUGGAAAUCAACCCAGACAUGAUCGUCAUCAUACUGUUGAGAUAGCAGGACAUGGUGCCAUCGUUGCGGACUGGAAUAAUUAUAAUGAAAGGAGACCUCGUGUAGUACCAGAUCUCCACUGUGCAGACAUCCCAGUUGUUGACUGUACAGACUACAGACAUCAUUUGCAGACAAAUUUCCCAAACUUUUACCAAAACAAAAACUACCAACACUGGUUCUGUGGCCAAAGCCCUACAGUGGAUGCAUGUCAUGGAGACUCUGGGGGAGGAGUGGUGUAUAAUGGCCAGAUCUACGGUGUCUUUUCUUUUAGUGGAGAUAAUCAGUUUGCAUGUGCUCAACCAGCUGCUUUUAUGAACCUCUGCCAUCCUGAGUACAAUGCUUGGAUCACUAGGAUC